rnacentral:lncRNA from 1 species
AGCACUUGUCAUGUAUCAUUGGAGAGUUGAGGUGGAGUUACUUAGGACAUAUAUAUCUUUAUAGACUGUCCACUUCUACCUCCUUGUGGUAAUUUAGUGCUGGAAGGAUUAAAGUCACUUUGUGGCUCAUUUACAUGAAGAAGAUAUCCUCAGCUGCUCAAUACUGAGCCUUUCUCUCAGAUUUGCUAUGCUAAAUUCCUUACAAUCUCUCCUGAAGCAGGUUCUUAUAAAGUGCUUCAUGUUACUCAAAUGGUCAUCAUUCUAUCCCCCAAAUGAAAGCACUUUCUGAACCAUAUUGGAGAGCAAUUACCUAUACACAAGGGCAGAGUCUGGGGGCAGUGACUUCUUCUGAUGGCAGCACUAUGCUGAGGGUAGAAACCUUCCUACCCUUGGUCUUUUGAAGUGGGAAUUGAAUAUGAUGAAUGAAACAGGAAUUCACUUGUAUCAUCAGAAGAGGAGAGAACAUGGACUCCUUCAUAUGGGGGAAAAUUGUGACUAUGGACUGGGUUGGAUUUGUCUAAGUAAAGUUACAGCACAGUGCUAAAAGUUUGAGCCCUGGCAUAUUUAAUAAUAAGAUUAUUAACAAUGUAAUGUUUUUAACUGGCUGCAGAGCUAACCUCUUUGUUGUAUCAUUUUAGUGUUGGUAAAUUUAGGUUGGGAACAUGAGGAAUUCAUGAAAUUUCACCAAAUCUGUUCUCUUUAGGAAGGAAAAUUCUUCCAGGU